rnacentral:rRNA from 1 species
GAGCGGGCCCUUCGGGGUCAGCGGCGGACGGGUGAGUAACGCGUGGGAACGUGCCNCUCUGGUUCGGAACAACCCUGGGAAACUAGGGCUAAUACCGGAUACGCCUGUGAUCUUUGAGGUCAUGGGGAAAGGCUUGCUGCCGGAGGAUCGGCCCGCGUCUGAUUAGCUAGUUGGCGGGGUAACGGCCCACCAAGGCGACGAUCAGUAGCUCGUCUGAGAGGAUGAUCAGCCACACUGGGACUGAGACACGGCCCAGACUCCUACGGGAGGCAGCAGUGGGGAAUAUUGGACAAUGGGCGCAAGCCUGAUCCAGCCAUGCCGCGUGAGUGAUGACGGCCUUAGGGUUGUAAAGCUCUUUUCUCCGGGACGAUAAUGACGGUACCGGAGGAAUAAGCCCCGGCUAACUUCGUG